rnacentral:rRNA from 1 species
UACGGAGGGGGCUAGCGUUGUUCGGAAUUACUGGGCGUAAAGCGCACGUAGGCGGCUUUGCAAGUCAGAGGUGAAAGCCCGGGGGCUCAACCCCCGGGAAUUGCCUUUGAGACUGCAUCGCUAGAAUUGUGGAGAGGUAAGUGGAAUUCCGAGUGUAGAGGUGAAAUUCGUAGAUAUUCGGAAGAACACCAGUGGCGAAGGCGACUUACUGGA